rnacentral:rRNA from 1 species
CUCGUAGGCGGACCUGUGUGUCUUGCGUGAAAUCUCCACCGCUUACCGGGGAGGGUGCGCAGGAAACUGCAAGUCUUGAGUAUGAUAGAGGGUCGCGGAAUUUCGGGUGUAGCGGUGGAAUGCGUAGAUAUCCGAAGGAACACCGGUGGCGAAGGCGGCGGCCUGGAUCAAUACUGACGCUGAGGAGCGAAAGCUAGGGUAGCAAACG